GUACACGCUGUGACUAGCAUAUCAAUAAGCGGAGGAAAAGAAACUAACAAGGAUUCCCCUAGUAACGGCGAGUGAAGCGGGAAGAGCUCAAAUUUGAAAUCUUAAAGGGCUUUCCCUUUACGAAUUGUAGUUUAAAGAAGUGUUUUCUGUUGAGGUUUUGGUAAAAGUUCUUUGGAAUAGGACAUCAUAGAGGGUGAGAAUCCCGUAUUUGACCUUUACUUUCAACUUUGUGAUACACUUUCAAAGAGUCGGAUUGUUUGGGAAUGCAGUCCAAAAUGGGUGGUAAAUUUCAUCUAAAGCUAAAUAUUGGCGAGAGACCGAUAGCGAACAAGUACCGUGAGGGAAAGAUGAAAAGAACUUUGAAAAGAGAGUUAAACAGUACGUGAAAUUGUCAAAAGGGAAGCGUUUGACACCAGUGUUGUUUUUCUGAAAAUCAAUUAAAGAACUGUUUAUGCUAAGUUGUUUAGACUUUAUCAGCUAUCUGUUUAGUUUUGAGCUUUUCUUUAAUGCACUUUUCAGUUAACAAGUCAACAUCAAUUUCUUUUGCUGUAAAAAAGCUUGAGGAAGGUGGCUUGAGAUUCGUCUUAAGUGUUUAUAGCCUCUUGCCUAUGCAGUCGGAGAGAUUGAGGUCUGCAGCGUAGAUCCUUCGGGGCUAAAUGCAUUUGUGCUAAGUUAUAGCAUUUUAUAGACAACUUGUUGACUAUGAUUUGUCUUGUAGCUUACUCGCUUAUGUUAUUUUACCUACGCUUAGGAUGUUGAAGAUGUAGCACAUCAU
rnacentral:rRNA from 1 species